rnacentral:other from 1 species
UUGUUCCUGCCCGGUGCGUCAGGUUAAUUGCAGUGCGUCAACCACAGUAGAAAAACGGGAACUUGCGUCUUUGCGUCGUUAUGUCAGGCCUCAAUACCCUAACGGGUUCAAAAACUUUAAGUUUCGGACGGAAGACAGAGGGCGUGAGCAGAGUACCCACCUGAAUAUAAGUUCAGGUUGACUACGCUAAUGCCAACGGCCGAGGCGGGAACUUU